rnacentral:rRNA from 1 species
GACGAACGCUGGCGGCGUGCUUUACACAUGCAAGUCGUACGGUAAGGCCCUUUCUGGGGUACACGAGUGGCGCACGGGUGAGUAACACGUGAGUAACCUGCCCACAACUUUGGGAUAAACCUAGGAAACUGGUGCUAAUACUGGAUAUGUGCUCCUGCUGCAUGGUGGGGGUUGGAAAGCUCCGGCGGUUGUGGAUGGACUCGCGGCCUAUCAGCUUGUUGGUGGGGUAGUGGCCUACCAAGGCGGCGACGGGUAGCCGGCCUGAGAGGGUGACCGGCCACAUUGGGACUGAGAGACGGCCCAGACGCCGACGGGAGGAAGCAGUGGGGAAUAUUGCACAAGGGGCGCAAGCCUGAUGCAGCAACGCCGCGGGCGGGAUGACGGCCUUCGGGUUGAAAACCGCUUUCAGCAGGGACGAAGCUUUUUGUGACGGUACCUGCAGAAGAAGCACCGGCUAACUACGUG